AAACAAUGCCCUGUGGUCUCACAGCCUUCUAGGAAUCAGCGGAGGACUUCCAUUGAAAAUAAUGGAAAUUCACAUUGGCGUACUUUCGAUCCUUAAAAGGAAUACAUGUGACCAAGAAAGACACCCAAGGACGGCAGCUGCCUUGCAGCCAAGCAUGGGUCAGACACACCAAUGUGGCAGCCUGACAUCCAGAGGCCAACCCAGGCCAAGGAGAAAAACAAGAAACACCUGCAAAGACUAAAUUCCCAGGUCCCAGAAGGAUGGUCAAAUGUUUGGUGAGCUCGCUGGUACCUUGUGGCUCGUGUACUAAUACUCUGGCUACACUGAGGAGGAUGAAUGCCUAAGACUGGGUGGGUCAGAUGUCUCCACCUCACAAAUGGAAACUACAUGCUGACAAGAUUUACCCUGAAAGCUUUCAAGCUGAGAAAGGGCUUGGUUUAGUUGGUUGGGAAGCAAGCAGGCCCGUAUGGUCAGGGAAGCUGAGGACCACUCUUAGACAUCUAUACAAAAUCCUCUGGUCUAUCUGGAAGAGAGGUUCAAUAUCAAAGGACUUGGUUUCUGUCUGUAUUCAAUAAACUCUUCACUGGGGACUAAGAAUUGACUUGAUUAAGGCAAACGAACCUUCUUGUUUCUUGAAGAAUUUCAUUAAAGGGAUCUAAUGGAAUAUUUGCCACUUGAAAGAAUUCAUCUCUCCAACAGAGGUGAGCAGUUUUAGUCUUUGGGUAAUUAUUCCCAGAGAGACCAAUGAUAGGUCAGCCCAGGGACCCACCUGCAUCCAACAGAAAUGAGCUUAACCAUCCAGUAUGUUCUAGGUGUUGACUUCAACAGCCCAGAUGAGAUUAAGUGACUUUCCUAAUCCUGCCAAGAAGCCUAGAAGGUGAGCAUUAGUCCCAUGAGCGGUCCCCAAGGCCCCACAGCCCCUGUAUUCUGAGAGGAGGCUGCCCUCUAGGGCUCAGCUGACCUCUGGGCUGAACUACAGUCCCCCCAGGGCAUCGUGGUCCUGGCAGGCAACUUGUUCCAUCCUCUGUCCCACAAACUUCUUUUUCUAUUUCCUAUGCACCAAUCCCUAAAUAAGGCCUCUCCAGACUAGACUUCAACACCCCAUCCCUUCUGAGGCCUGCCCCCCAUUCCCCUUAGAAAAAACAUGGUGGGGGGAGCACAUGCUCUUUAAAGGGAACAGGAAGAUGAAGGCUCCACUCCACUGUCAAAUGGCCUUGAGUUAGCCUUUUGCCUUUACCUGUCAUCCCACAUGACCAGGGCCCUGUGCGGGAGCCGCAGGCUCCUUGUGGAAACGAUCAUGCCUUCCAGGUAUACAGAUGUGCCAGGCUUUCCCCAAGCCCAUCCAUAGUUGGUUGUGUUCAUUGAUCCCCACAACGCAGUGAGAGGGGCAAAGAUAGGGUAUUCCCCAUGGGAAUACUGGGGCUCAAGAGAAGUGAAUCGAUUUGACAGAGCCGCACUGGAAACCAGGUCUCUGAUCGCCAGUGGAGUACUCUUCCCUUCCCCCCUCCGCAGAAGACCUUCCACAUUUGGGAACUCAGUAACUGAGAACAGUUAUGAUUCUUUGCAAACAACCUGAGGAUUCACAACAUGCAGUAAUUUGCAAUUUUGCUGAUGCACGAAUUUGAAUAUAGCGCAUGCUGCAAAGCUUGUGUGCAGGGGACAGAAUGAAGUGAGUGGUGGGGGAAGGGAGUUCGGAAGUGAAGCCAGUUCCCCAUCUCACAUGCACUCACAACACUGAUUUCCCAGGAAAAAGGGCCUGCAGAGCAUGUCCUCCCCACCACCAUGACUGGAGGAAGGGGUGGCUCUAGGAGACCAUCAGAGUAGGCCAGUGUCCCAGCAAAGGGGACAAAGAUGGGAGAGGGGCUAGGGGCACAAGGCUGGGACCCGGUCAUCUGUUCAUAGCUGUGUGGGCUGAUGAGGGAGGCCCCAGUCAGCAGGAGGGGAGGGGAGGCCUUGGGGCCACAGGACGAGGCCUGGCCCAUCCCAGCUUCCAGACCUCAGCAAUCUUGUUUCCUACUCCUGUCCCCUGGUAAAGGGCCACUACCAUUUCCCCCACCCUUCACUGCAAGUCUUAAGGAAAAGCCUGUGUUUGGGAGGCACUUGCCAAGGCCUCAAGAAAGAUCCCUCCUGAGUGCCAGGGAUUACAGAUUCCCAGGGGACUUUCCUAAGGCCUUGGCCUGGCCCCUCCAGCCCUGCUCACCUCGGAAGCUCAGCUCACUGUCACUAACCCCACAGUCCUCUGCAGAGCUCUCCUUCUCCUGCUUGCUGCUGCCCCGGCUUCUCUUGACGCUCUUAUAGAACUGCCCCCAGCGGUGCCGCCCUGCAUCCUUCUUCAGGCGUUUCUCUUUGGCCCUUCUGUUCUGAAACCAAACCUGCCACACAAACACAAGGGACACACUCAGGGGCAUCCACCAUGAACCCAAAGCCCCCAGGACCCCCAAGGCAGGCGGCUGGAAGCAGAUUGAAGCCUGAAUGGAGUGCAGGUCCGGGAGUGCCAUGAGCCCCACCCCCUCUCCCCAGGUGGGCCUCAGAACUCUUCAGUUCUGGCAAAAGCCCUGGGGUCAGGCCCUGAGCCCAACCACCAGUGAACUGAUGUCACUCAGGACACCUUCCACCCCAUCCCGGGCCUGGGAUCCCUGGAGGGCACAGGAGUGCUGGCAUCUCACCUGUACGACCCUCAUGUCCAGGCCUGUCUCUGAGGACAGCUGCUCCCUCACAUGCCGGGCAGGCUUGGGGGAGUUCUUGUACGCAUUCUUUAAUGUCUCCAGCUGCUUGGCUGUGAUGGUGGUCCGGGGCCGCUUAGCUCCGGCCUCUGAGUCAUCUGCAAGGAAAAACCACUGCUUACUGGCUUCGGCCUAUCUGCAGCAGCUGCGUCUCCUCCCCCACCCUCCUUCCAUCCUUUCUGCACCUAAGCCUGCCUGCUGUAGUCAGGGCAGUGCGAGGCACAGGGGACAUCAGAGUGGAGAGGUCCCCAGUCUUAUGGCACCGGCUCCUGCACCACAGGCCUUCCCAAGCCACUGGAAAGUAAGGACCGCAGUCCUUUCUCUGCUUAGCUCCCUGCUUCUCCCCUCCCCUGCCAGCCCAGCUGCAUAGAAGUCUCAUCAGACUGAAUGAAUGCACCAAUUCCACACAUGUCCCUGUCAUGACAAACACUCUGCUCCGCAUCCUCGUGAGUUCUUGCCGGAGCUGUGAAGGUGAACAGCCAAGCUGAAGUCUGUGUUCCAAGCCGCCUGAACACCUUCCUCUCUCUCUCAUGGGGAGUCUCCCGUUUCCCCACAGCCAUGUCACCUUGGCCCUGGCGUUGCUGGGCUCACAGCCAGGGGUGAGCUUGCACACCCAAUAGUGUCUAAGCAAGUUUCUAAGCUAUGGGUCAGAACCCACUCGUGGGCUGUAAAGUCAACUUAGUGGACCAAAACUAAAGGAGGAAAUCAGAUGAAGAGAAUGGAAUGGAAUGGCAAGAUCAUUUCAUUAACCUUUAGUUUUUAUUGUAUGAAUGUAUGUACUGAGAUGAAAUGUUGAAAUAGUUUUACCGUGGAUCGUAGUCAAAAUUUUUUGAAAAAACUAGUCUAAGGAAUGUUCUGGGCAACACAUUGAUCAACACAAAGUCCUCUACAGAUUUUGAGUGAACAAGCUAAAGUUCCUGUUAAAGUCUGGUUUGUUCCAUUCAAAGUCAGGCAGAGAGAGAGGCAUGUGGGUGUGUUCAGAAGCACAGAUGAGCGGAAGGGUUUGUUUCUUCUCCCAGCACUAAGGCUUACUGCCCUUUUAACUCCACAGUGCCCCUGGAGGACACAAAGAAUAAAGUCAGCAGCUGGCCCGGGCAGCUCUGCUCCCUGUGCUUCCUCCCCUGUGUGCCCCUGAAAGUGUCUCUGUGCCAUUCCUGACUUCCUCUCUGUCUUUUCUCCCUUCUUUCAAGAAAACCCUCUCCUAGGAACAAUAAUAGCCAACAUGUGUUAGCACCUACCAUGUGCUGAUGUUGACUAAGGACUUUAUAUGCAUUCAGUCCUCACAGUCUACAAGGCUCUCCCUGGAGUCAGCAGACCUGGCUUCAAUGUUCUUGCUGAGUGAGUGACUUGGACCAGUAACUCACCUCCCCCUUGGAAGCCCAGAGGGCAACAUAGCCUGCCCUGGUCUUGGGAGGCACUAGAGGAAUGAAGCAGCUGUGCGGCCAGGACAUGCGUGCACACAGUGAGGGGGACACACCCGUGCCUUCCCUUCUCCAUGGGCUGUUUUCUUCUCUCACGUGGCCACUGUCAUCCCAGAACUGCUGUGGCCCAACUCCCUCCCUGAAGCCCCUGCCGCAGAGAUGACACUACUUAGAGAGUCAUUCCAAAAGAUAAAGGGGAACCUCCAAAAUGCCUGCCUUUUAAUUCUGAGGAGUCAGUCCCUUCUGUGCAUAUUUAUAGUCUACACGGGAGUGUCUGAUGCAACUUUGAAUUAUGCAAAUGGGAAAUAGUGCACUUGUAUACAGUCUUUAUAUUAAAAACUGAAAUAAUGCAA